GGAGGUAGUGACGUGAAAUAACGAUGCGGGACUCUUCCGAGGCCUCGCAAUCGGAAUGAGUUAACUUUAAAUCCUUUCGACGAGGAUCGAUUGGAGGGCAAGUCUGGUGCCAGCAGCCGCGGUAAUUCCAGCUCCAAUAGCGUAUAUUAAAGUUGCUGCGGUUAAAAAGCUCGUAGUUGGAUCUCACGAUUCGAAAGACGGAGAGCGCCGUUGACGCAGUCGUGGUAGUAGUAGUACUACUACACCACGAAUCCACCUUCUCAUUCGUUUCGUUACGGUAGAAGGAGUAAUAAUAGUACGGGGAUGUCGAAUGCGCGAACAGGAUUUAUGAAAACGGUACGAUUUGAUUUUCUGACGGUGGUGGCGGAGGCGGUCGUCUUUGCUGCUGCUGCUGCUGUUGUUGCGGUGGUACGCUAGUGGGGAACGACCGUCGCCGCUACCGCUUCUACUACUUCGUUAAUCGUUGAUGUCCUCUUCGUUGCUUUGGCUAAUACCACUAUUCCUCUUCCUUCUUUCCAACGGACGAAAAAGAGAAGGCGAACGCCAAAGUGUCCCGGCGUAACUAAACAACCGUCCUUUUCGAUGAAAAAUAUUGUUCGGCCGGCCAGCGGCGUAGUAGUAGCCUCACCGGAAAGGGUGGUAGAAGGUGGUAUCAUUAUGGCAAUAAUAAUACAUCUUCCACCUUCGAUGGCGGUGGUGACUCUCGCGCGCUCGCGUUCGGUCGGCAACUUCACUUUGACAAAAUUAGAGUGCUCAGAGCGGGCAAGAUCUGAAGCCCGAAUGGAGGUGCAUAGAAUGAUCUAAGAUGACCUCGCGAUCUAAACGUUUGUCGGUUUAUGGGGUCGCGAGGUAAUGAUUAAA
rnacentral:rRNA from 1 species